GCCUGGGUGGCUCAAUCGGUUGAGCAUCUGACUUCAGCUCAGGCCAUGAUCUCACAGCUUGUGGGUUUGAGCCCCUCCUCGGACU
rnacentral:tRNA from 1 species